rnacentral:rRNA from 1 species
GAUGAACGCUGGCGGCGUGCCUAAUACAUGCAAGUCGAGCGAACGGACGAGAAGCUUGCUUCUCUGAUGUUAGCGGCGGACGGGUGAGUAACACGUGGAUAACCUACCUAUAAGACUGGGAUAACUUCGGGAAACCGGAGCUAAUACCGGAUGAUAUUUUGAACCGCAUGGUUCAAAAGUGAAAGACGGUCUUGCUGUCACUUAUAGAUGGAUCCGCGCUGCAUUAGCUAGUUGGUAAGGUAACGGCUUACCAAGGCAACGAUGCAUAGCCGACCUGAGAGGGUGAACGGCCCAACCGGAAAUGAGACACGGUCCAGACUCCCACGGGAGGAAGCAGUAGGGAAUCUUCCGCAAUGGGCGAAAGCCUGACGGAGCAACGCCGCGUGAGUGAUGAAGGUCUUCGGAUCGUAAAACUCUGUUAUUAGGGAAGAACAUAUGUGUAAGUAACUGUGCACAUCUUGACGGUACCUAAUCAGAAAGCCACGGCUAACUACGUG